AAAUUGAAGAGUUUGAUCAUGGCUCAGAUUGAACGCUGGCGGCAGGCCUAACACAUGCAAGUCGAACGGUAACAGGAAGCAGCUUGCUGCUUCGCUGACGAGUGGCGGACGGGUGAGUAAUGUCUGGGAAACUGCCUGAUGGAGGGGGAUAACUACUGGAAACGGUGGCUAAUACCGCAUAACGUCGCAAGACCAAAGAGGGGGACCUUCGGGCCUCUUGCCAUCAGAUGUGCCCAGAUGGGAUUAGCUUGUUGGUGAGGUAACGGCUCACCAAGGCGACGAUCCCUAGCUGGUCUGAGAGGAUGACCAGCCACACUGGAACUGAGACACGGUCCAGACUCCUACGGGAGGCAGCAGUGGGGAAUAUUGCACAAUGGGCGCAAGCCUGAUGCAGCCAUGCCGCGUGUAUGAAGAAGGCCUUCGGGUUGUAAAGUACUUUCAGCGGGGAGGAAGGUGUUGUGGUUAAUAACCGCAGCAAUUGACGUUACCCGCAGAAGAAGCACCGGCUAACUCCGUGCCAGCAGCCGCGGUAAUACGGAGGGUGCAAGCGUUAAUCGGAAUUACUGGGCGUAAAGCGCACGCAGGCGGUCUGUCAAGUCGGAUGUGAAAUCCCCGGGCUCAACCUGGGAACUGCAUUCGAAACUGGCAGGCUUGAGUCUUGUAGAGGGGGGUAGAAUUCCAGGUGUAGCGGUGAAAUGCGUAGAGAUCUGGAG
rnacentral:rRNA from 1 species